rnacentral:rRNA from 1 species
UCCAGCAGGUAGCUCUCUGCAACUCUCACAAGGUCACCCACUGAAGCUAAUCAGGGCUGCGCCUGAUCAGUACCUGGAUGGGAGACCAUGUGGGAAAUCUAGGUUGCUGCCGGAA